CAGACCUUGGUCUGAAAUUACAUUUCACAAAGCAAGGUUUGUCCUCAGACCAGGUUUAUGUACGUCAUCAGACCCGAAAUUUACAGACUGCUCAGAUAGGAGGUUUGUAAUUUCUCAAACCUGGUUUGAGAGCUAUCAACCAAUCAGGAUGCAGCACUGGGUGGAGAUAAUUUAUGCUCGAUUGAUUUUAUCCAAAUAAUUCACCGCCAAAACAAUCUGCGAUAGUAUCUGGUCAGCCCGAUUGUAGUGCAAUUGAAAUCUCUCAAUCUCUCGAUCCUUUCCUUAAAAUCGUAAGUAUAAAACCUGUACAUGUAGUCGAAUCCAUACUCUUCACGUUACUGACAUUUCAAUAUGUGAUAUGCUUUAUAACUUUCCAUUUUCCAUGAAAUGUUCGGUGUUUACAUAUCCGACGGCCUCUCAAUUCCAGAGUUCAGGGACUGAGUCCGAGGGAGCUCGAGUCCAACGCCCAAGGCGGCGGGGGAGCUCGCACCCUCUGACCCUGGGCUGGAGUUGGGCCUAGCCGGGCCUACAGUAGCUGUAGGCUAUAUCUGAGUAUGUCAGUAUGACUGUCAUGUUUAAUUUCGUCUUGUUGUCAGCAAUGCCAUGACACAUGCCUAUUAGAAUAGGCCUAGACCUACACUAGUUAUUACAAAUUCAUGAUAAUGAUAAUAAUACCAUGCAGGCUCUAGCCUAGUAUAGGCCUGGCAAUGAUGUCCAUCACUUGACUUGUUUCACUGACACUGGUACCUAAAUAAAUAGAAAUUAAAAUGGCAUCAGCAAUGCCAAUGUUCCCCAAAAUGAAUCACACUGACAGGCAUGGACCAAAAGCUUCAGUCUCUCUAUAUCGCCGGUUGUUCACUGAGACUACGCCUGGCUCCACUAGACCUCCGAUUAUAGAAUGUCAACAAAUGUCAGUUUUAAUAUUAUUUUUAUUAAAGAAAUGACCCAUAUCACUCAGACGGUUAUUUCUGUCUAUGACUAGAUCUAGUAUGAGUCGUGACAAGCAAAGCUUAGUUUUAUUAAAUUUAGAUCUGGUUCUGAUUGUCUUAAUUAACUGGCUUAGUCUCCAGAGCAAGGAUCACCCACAAAGUCACAAGCACAAGUAAUAACAUUUCUUUAAUUUAAAAACAUUGUUUAAACAUUUGUUUAAUUUUAUCUUCACUCUAAUAAAGAUGGUAGAAAUGCAGCUGAUUCGGCAUAAUGAGCUGGUGUACCUGAAGGAGGAGCUGGAGCAAUAUAUAGCAGCACAACCGGGCAGAGGCCUCUGAGUCUGAGAUUGGGAAAACCCGCUGGAUGAUGAGCCUUUUGUUUUAGAUUGAGGUAAUUCGAUCUAAAGGAUGCACCGUGAGGAGGUGGCAUGCCGUGUCAUAUUCAUCUGUUUGCCGAAUGGAGAGUAGUGAGUGAGGGAUGUUUCCGAAGCUGUUGUCAGAAGAAAGGGACAAGUCAUGAAGUUUCCUACAAGUUACAAGGCAAUAGUGACUACUAUUCAGAAGCAGUUUUUCCAGUACUGCAGAUUUCCAGGAGUUGCUGUUGAUGGGACACAUGUUUACAUCAGGAGCCCUGGUGGGGCAAGAGCCAGGUACUACUUCAAUAGGAAGAACAGGUACUCCAUCGAUGUUCAGGUUGUCUGUGAUUAUGCUGGGAAAAUAACUAGUAUCGUUGCAAGGUGGCCUGGACUGGUAGCAGCCACGAUGCCAGGAUCUUUUCUGAGUGUGCACUGAAUUGACAGCUUGAUGCUAGGGCAUAUGAAUAACAGUUGAUUCUUGGAGAUAGACUAUAGGGUAUCCAUGCCUUCUCUGCCUCAUCAGAAGCCAUUUCUUCAUUCAGAGGGUCGACCACAGAUGUGCUUUAAAGGCCAUCUGUACUAGUUCAGCCAAAGAGGAUUAGACAACCCAGCAAGGUCACUGACGGGAGGCUAUCUCAUCAAUUCAGUUCUCAAUUAACAU